rnacentral:tRNA from 1 species
GUCCCCGUCGGGGGCGGAACCCCUGUUCUCGUCAACGGUACGGCGGGAUGCACGAUCACCGCCGCGGGGUUCGACGCCUCCGGGGCUCCC